AGUGAACGCUGGCGGCGUGCUUAACACAUGCAAGUCGAACGAGAACGGAAUAUAGCUUGCUAUAUUUGUCAGCUAAGUGGCGCACGGGUGAGUAAUGUAUAGAUAACCUGCCCUUAAGAAAGGAAUAACAGUUGGAAACGACUGCUAAUGCCCUAUAUGCCUUUAAUACAUAAGUAUGCAAGGGAAACGCUUUAGUGCUUAAGGAUGGGUCUGUAUGGUAUCAGCUUGUUGGUGAGGUAAUGGCUCACCAAGGCUAUGACGCCUAACUGGUUUGAGAGGAUGAUCAGUCACACUGGAACUGAGACACGGUCCAGACUCCUACGGGAGGCAGCAGUGGGGAAUAUUGCACAAUGGACGAAAGUCUGAUGCAGCAACGCCGCGUGGAGGAUGACACAUUUCGGUGCGUAAACUCCUUUUGUAUAGGAAGAUAAUGACGGUACUAUAUGAAUAAGCACCGGCUAACUCCGUGCCAGCCGCCGCGGUAAGAC
rnacentral:rRNA from 1 species